GUGAAUAAAUUAACUAUUUUCUCAUUGUAAGAGACGUUGAUUUAGUGUUUAUAUGAAUAUAAAACAUGUUUGCUUGUUUGAUUUUUGUACUAAAAAUAUCUUGACCAUUUAUCAAUUCUGUCUUAGGAUCCAAUAAUAGAAUGAAACUCAGUGGACGGCCAUACAGACUCAUGGGAGUGCUUGGAACUUCAAAACUGUAUGACAUUCGGAAAACUAUCUUUACUUUCACCCCACAGUUUAUAGACCAGCAACAGUUCUACCUGGCUCUGGACAAUAAAAUGAUAGUAGAAAUGCUUAGAACAGACCUCUCCUACCUAUAGCCUGG
rnacentral:lncRNA from 1 species